ACGGGAGGCAGCAGUGGGGAAUCUUCCGCAAUGGGCGAAAGCCUGACGGAGCAACGCCGCGUGAGUGAAGAAGGUCUUCGGAUCGUAAAGCUCUGUUGAGAGGGACGAGAGAUAACUUCAGGAAAUGGGAGUUAGAGGACGGUACCUUUCGAGGAAGCCACGGCUAACUACGUGCCAGCAGCCGCGGUAAUACGUAGGUGGCGAGCGUUGUCCGGAAUUAUUGGGCGUAAAGGGAGCGCAGGUGGGAAAGUAAGUCAGUCUUAAAAGUGCGGGGCUCAACCCCGUGAUGGGAUUGAAACUACUUUUCUUGAGUGCAGGAGAGGAAAGCGGAAUUCCUAGUGUAGCGGUGAAAUGCGUAGAUAUCAGGAGGAACACCGGUGGCGAAGGCGGUUUACUGGACGAAUACUGACGCUGAGACACGAAAGCGUGGGGAGCAAACAGGAUUAGAUACCCUGGUA
rnacentral:rRNA from 1 species